CCCGAUGAAGAACUACUCCCGCCUGAAGUGUGAUGAGCCACCUACCGGCGGAGG
rnacentral:snoRNA from 1 species